rnacentral:rRNA from 1 species
UACGGGGGGAGCAAGCGUUGUUCGGAUUUAUUGGGCGUAAAGGGCGCGCAGGCGGCUACGCACGUCCGUUGUGAAAUCGCUCGGCUCAACUGGGCGGGGGCAGCGGAUACGGCGUAGCUGGAGCAAGCUAGGGGGCAAUGGAAUUCCCGGUGUAGUGGUGGAAUGCGUAGAUAUCGGGAGGAACACCAGUGGCGAAGGCGGUUGGCUGGAGCUUUGCUGACGCUGAGGCGCGAAAGCGUGGGGAGCGAUCCGG